GGUUGUGACUCAGCGGUAGAGCACUUGCCUAGCACGUGGAAGUCCUGGGUUCAAUCCUCAGCACCA
rnacentral:tRNA from 1 species